CCAUCUGUACCGUGGCAUCUUCCCUGUGCUGUGUAAGGAUGCCAUACUGAAUGCCUGGGCUGAGGAUGUUGACCAUCGUGUAACCUUGGCCAUGGAUGUUGGCAAGGCCCGAGGCUUCUUCAAGAAGGGAGAUGUGGUCAUUGUGCUGACCGAGUGGCGCCCUGGCUCUGGAUUCACCAACACCAUGCGUGUCGUGCCUGUACCUUAAUGGCCCUCUGGGGCCCCUCUUCUAGCCCCUGUCCCUUCCCCUCUCUUAUCCUUUUUAUUAGGCCAGCAACGCAUGUAGUGCUCACUCUGGGCCAUAUGUGGCGCUGGUGGGCUGGGACACUAGGGAAAAUUAAUGCCUCUAAAACAUGUAAUAGAGCCUAGCUA
rnacentral:lncRNA from 1 species